rnacentral:rRNA from 1 species
UACGUAGGGUGCAAGCGUUGUCCGGAAUUAUUGGGCGUAAAGAGCUCGUAGGCGGUCUGUCGCGUCUGCUGUGAAAUCCCAAGGCUCAACCUCGGGCCUGCAGUGGGUACGGGCAGACUAGAGUGCGGUAGGGGAGAUUGGAAUUCCUGGUGUAGCGGUGGAAUGCGCAGAUAUCAGGAGGAACACCAAUGGCGAAGGCAGAUCUCUGGGCCGUAAGCUGACGCUGAGGAGCGAAAGCAUGGGGAGCGAACAGG